GGGGUCCAGUUUCCUUAGCCCUCGGAUCUAAAUAUUGACCUGAGUGGCUAAAAGAAAAGGAGGAAAAGUAAACUUUAAGUGGACUUGGAGUCUUUAGUGACAUACAAGUUCAUUUCAAGCACGA
rnacentral:snoRNA from 1 species